CUUUACCGAAGCCGCAAUCCAAACAGAGAUCAGACUGGCUACAAACUUUAAGGAUUUAUUUUACCAGAUUUUCCUUCUUUGGGGCACUUUGGGUGACAGGAGAUUGACAUGAAACGGCUAAAACGGCAUGAUGGCAGCACUAUCAGUGACAAUGACAGGAUAUUUUAAUACGCUGUGUUUGAAUAAGUAUUUCUAUUAUUUAAUACUGUGACGUCGACACCUAUCGACUGUUGCAACGGGCACUAAGUAAACCCUGAUUUAUUAGUAAUAAAUCAGUUUACAGCGUCUACACAUACAGGCAACUCUCCAAAAACAGUUUCUGGGUCACUGUCAGUUGUAUAACCAGUGCAUUGUUAAACUUUCGAGAUCUAUAAGAAGAUUUUAUUGUUCAGUGUCCUCAAACGAUGAUCUGAAGAAUGGUGAGGAAUAAGUAAAAAUCCCACUGAUAAGAAUAACAUAACAAAUGCAACGCUAACACUGAUCCAAGGAGACAAUGCUGUAUACUUCAGGUAUGAGCCUAUACUGAACAAGAAUGACGGAUUUAAAUGUCGUGCUACAGAUUGCCAGUUAUUCUCCAGGAUUUGAAGCAUAUGGCACUACAAUUACAAUGAGUUGGAAGAUAUGUAUGGCCAUUGAAGUCUAAGUAAUCCAGGGAAUAGACCAUAUACAGAACAACCAUGGUGCAAGUGUUGGCAGCAGAGGUACAGAUCCUCCUCUUUGCCACUAUGGCCAGACCAGUUCUGUAGCCCACGCAGCCUCGUAUAUGUAAUGCACACUCUAUCCAUCUGGUGGCAAGGUGGUGAAGAGUGUGUGAAGCCAUAUCUUCACUCCCAUAAGUGUACAUGGUGUAAUGCUUAUUAAACAACAGAUAAAUCUUUAUCUUAAGAGGAUUUGUCACAUUCAGAAUUGCCAAUUUACAGAGAAGUGAUGAUCAGGGCAAAAGGCACUGAACAUGCCUGAUUUCCAAAGGCCCUGUGUAUGGGAUCAGCCAGAUCCAGUUCAGAAUUUUUCACAUCUCUUCUUUCCAUUCUCUCAUGCCCAGCUCCUACCAUACUUAUUGACAAAUGUGGUUAAAUAUAUGCACUGAUGCCACUAUAUAAGAACACAAGCAUGAACGUGUAUAUUCACGAAAUUAUGUUGUUGAGCGAACCAUGCCACCUGUGUUAUGGGUACAUAAUAUGUAUAUACAUAGAUGAGAACACUUAAAUUACUCUGUUAUUUUGUACCACCUGUGUGAAUCUGUCUGCUGGAAAACAAGUUGUUGUUAAGUUUCUUUCUAAGGACAAUUAUUGAAUUAUGAUGAAGUAUUAGUUGUUUACGAAAAUGUCUGUCUUUUGGCAGUAAUAACACCACUGCCAGAGAUGGAA